rnacentral:lncRNA from 1 species
GGGCGGAAGCCGGGCGCCGAGGGGCGCGCAGGAGCCGUGCCCGCGGGGCAGAAGCCGUGCCCGCGGGGCAGGAGUCCUGGAGGCCCCAGGUGCCUCCCUGGGAGCCCCCGACAUCAAUCCCGAGAACGGCGUUUCGAGGGGGUCGAGGCCUGAGCCCGGCAACUCGGUAACCUGGGGGGAGUGAUGCGUUUGGGAGCAGCGCGUCCGCUCGACACGGAAUUCCCUUUACUGGACGGAUGGAUAAAGUUCUGCGGCCUGGUGCUGAACCCCUUCUACCCCCAAGUCAGGACACUUCGAGAGCAUUUUCCCUUACACAGACCCUGUAAGACCUAACGUCCGUCUCCCUGACAGUCCUCACUGCGGUCCUCCGUAGCAGCCGUGCUGGGGUCGGGGUAGAGGGAGGAAGGCGCUAAAAGGCCGCGGAGCCGGGCCUCCCGCGCACAUCUGACGCCCCCUCUAAUCCCCCACCCCGCCCGGCGCUCCGGGCGCGUGUCCGCAGACGCUCUGCCGGUCCCUGCGCGCGGCCGUCGGGCAUUAGACCCCCGAAAGCAACGUUCCGUAAGCUCCCAGUACAAAUCCCCUCGGAAACAUUAAUCACAGCCACCAGUGAAUGCAAAACGUGUGCCCGUGCCUGCCGUGUCUGCCUUUUAAUCCCGAAGGCAAUUCUGGAAAGCAGCCUCAGACCGGGCUCUAUUAAUCCCUUACACCAGCAAAUGCAAUCUCUGACCUACUAGAUUUGUUUGCCUGCAAUUUCAGGAGGAGUUGGCCUCGACAGAGAAAUAGAAAGAAAACUAUGGGUGACUCGCGGCGCGGGGCAGUAACGCAACAAUGGGGUGCGUUUCCGUCAAAAGGCGCUCCUGCUGUGGCGGGGGCUCAGCCGCCCCGAGUCCUGACACCGCGCGGGGCGGCCGCGGCGUGCGGGCGGGGGUGGGGGGGUAGGGGAGCUGGGUGGCGAGUGCCUAGUGGGGUCGGAGCCCAGAGGAAACCCAGUUCUUUUUCCUCCAAAGGCUUCGACCCCAGGUGACCUCCUUUGGGGCUGUCCCCUUGCGACGGCGCUCGGGCAGGCCGAGGGGUCAAGGUUCCAUCCCCUGAGGCCUGUGCCUCGCACUUGAGAUUUCACUCUCCACUAUUCCAUCGCUCAAUCAAUCAUGCUUCUCUUCUCCCACUUUAUUCAAAACCGUCUUCCAGUUCCCUCGUAAUCGUCAUUUGCACCAUUGCCUUUUAUCUUUGAUUAAUUAGGAAAUCGAAAAAGAUAAUGGAGGGUCGGGCCGAUUAAUUAGUCUGAAGAACCGACGGAGGGACGUCUGGGCCGCACGGUGGGUGGGCCCUGUCCACGUGGGCUGGAGGGGCUGCCGCCAGGCUGGCGGGGCAGGAAGGGGUUAAGCAAAGGCGCGGCGCCGGCGAGGGGAGAGCUGCCCUAAGAACCCGGAGGGCUCGGGCGGAGACUUCUCGCCGAGCUAAGUGGGGCGGCGCCAGUGAUUUUUAGCUUUUUCUGUUGGGGUCUAGAAAACGAGCGAGGACCAGACUGGCACACGGUUGAGGGCGGGGCUCCUGUUUCCCUCCCGGGGGCCUCCCUGCUGGCGGACGACUGGUUUAAAGCUCGGGGUUUCUAGGCUGGCGACUGUGUCGUCCCGGGAUGGGAAGUUGGCUUUACUUUUGCAGCCUCUCCUUCCCUCUCUAGCCUCCUGGUCUGAAGGAGGGUGGG